rnacentral:lncRNA from 1 species
GGACCGCGCGUCCCGCCUCGGCUCCCGGCGGCGCCCAGAGAGCCCACGGGCACCUGCGGAGGCGCCUCCGCCUUCUCUGAAUCCAGAGGGCUUCUUCCUACCUUCCUGACCCGGGGGAUCCAGGGUCAGCCCUGAAUUCACACCCACAACCGAGCAGCCAGGCUGGGGGGACCUCGUGUUUGAGAUGCCGGGAUGCCGGCCGCACCCAGAACCAACUAACACGCGUGCACGGCCAGGCACCUGCUCUCUCUCUGCCAGACGAACAGCACCUGAAAUCUGCUGUUGCGCUCGGUCUCUCUGACCAGGUCAUAAAACAGUGUCUUGAGGAUGUCAGUGCCCAACAGAUUUUUUAAAGAUUUAAUAAAUGAAUGAACCGCACCAAGUUCCACUGUCAUGGGGGCACAGCACCAAAGUCUCAAGACAAAAAUCACAAGGACCGUUGAUGGAACCCAGGUCUUUUCUUUUCUUUUCUUUUCUUUUCUUUUCUUUUCUUUUCUUUUCUUUUCUUUUUUUUUUUUAAGAUUGUAUUCAUUUUUUCAUGUGAGAGGCAGAGGGAGAAGCAGGCCUCCUGCGGGGAGCCCGAUAGAGGACUUGAUCCCAGGACCCCAGGAUCACGCCCUGAGAUGAAAUGAAGGCCGACGCUCAGCCACUGAGCCACCCAAGUGCCCGGAACCCAGGGAUGCUGGAUUUUGUUGACUUGGUCUACUUACAGAUCCUCAUCAUAUCCUGCUUGGACAGCUGCCACCAUCUCUGGAAUUCUGAUCUCUAAACUCAUCUCUCUUCUAUUCACCUCCUAUGAUGUCACCAGGUUAUCAUUCUACAGCAGAAAUCUGAUCAUGUCAUUCCCACGCAAAACACCUACCCAAAGGAUCUAAAAGUCCUUGGCAUAAUAAGGCAAGUCGUUAGUCAUUCAUCUUUCAACAAAUAUUUACUGGGCGCUGAUUAUGUAUCAAGCUCUAUGCUAGCUGGCUAAGUGUGAAAAGUAUGGUGACAAACUGGAGAGAUGUGCCCUGUACCUUCAUGGAAUUUAUAUUCUAGUAGGGAGACAAAUAAACAACCACAUAAGCAAUAUAAUUAUGACUUGGAUAAACAUGAAAUUGUUAUUAAGUAACUAGAGUGUUGUGAUUGAGUUCUGGGAGCAGGGGUGGAUGUCAGAGAAGGCCCUUCUGAGGAGGUGACAUUUACACUGCUUAAAUUACGACAAAGAAAUGGCCAUGGGAAGAGUUCUAGGCAAGGGAAACAUAAAGUGCAAAGGUCCAAAAGUGGGAAAAAGCUUGGAUGGCCAGUAUGGCAGAAGAUAGUAAGGUUGCUGGACAGUUGAGCUCUACUUGCUUCUCCGGCCUCAUUUUUGAAAACUCAGACCCACAUCUAGGCAUCCUAAAUCCCAAACAUGUACAGCUACCCCUACUAUAUCCUCAACACACCAUGCCUUCUCAUUUUUCACCUGCUCCCUCCCAAUCAUCCUACUCCUGGUGAUUGGGCUUCUAAAUAAUACCUCCAACGACACCCUUGGGUUCCUCUCUUCCCCUCCUCCAGGCACUAGACUGCUCCUUCCUCCUCUAUGCCUCCACAGAAGUCUAUAUGUACCCCCCCCCUUUUUUUACAUAGUUAGCAUUUAUUGAGUAUUUUCUAUAUGCCAGGCACUGUUCUAAGCACUUUACCUGUAUACUUGGCUUUAUGAGGCAGGUCCAUUUAAAAUCCUCAAAAUUUCUAUGAGCUAGAAAGUAUUACUAUCUCUACCAUAUAGAUGAAGAAAUGGAGUCCCAGAGAAAUUACAAUUCACACACAGUUACAUAGUGAGUAAAUGGCAGUCAGGAUUUCAACCCAGACAGUUCAGUUUGUAUUUUAACCGCUAAGCCCUUUUUGCCUUUCAAGAUUGAUAACAGUAGCUAACAUUUAUCAAGCACUGCCUAUGGACUAGGCUUUCUUCUCUUGAUGUAAGUGAACAUAUUGAAUCCUACAACUCUCUGAGGUAGACACUCUUAAGUCCUCACAACAACCCUCCUAUUGGCGCUAAGACCAGGACUCUUGUGUGGAGCCCACAUCCUCCCAAUCAGCAAUCCCAAUGCCUCCUACAUCCAGAAAUUGAUCAACAAAUGUCUGCUGGAUGAAUGAAUGUACCAGCAAGACCCAGUGUCUUCCUCUUGGCUCACAAUUCACACUUCAAGAGCAUAUAGUGCCCAGAAAUACUUGGAGAAAAUUAUUAUAAUGGAAUAGAAGUCUGUUGUAGUAAAUAUAUACCAAUGAGAGCUGAUUAAUAUAAAGGCUAACUUCACAUGCAUAUUCACUGCAUUUCAAAUGUCAGACAGAGAAAUGCCUUUAUUGGGCACCUGGGUGGCUCAGUGGUUGAGUGUCUGCCUUUGGCUCAGGUCGUGAUCCUGGCGUCCUGGGAUCGAGUGCUGCAUUGGGUUCCCUGCAGGGAACCUAUUUCUCCCUCUGCCUAUGGUGUGCCUCUCUCUGUGUGUCUCUCAUGAACGAAUAUAUAAAAUCUUAAAAAAAAAAA